rnacentral:tRNA from 1 species
GACUCGCUAGCUCAGUUGGUAGAGCAUAGCCCUUUUAAGGCUGGGGUCCAGGGUUCGAGUCCCUGGCGGGUCA